rnacentral:rRNA from 1 species
UACGUAGGGCGCAAGCGUUAUCCGGAAUUAUUGGGCGUAAAGAGCUCGUAGGCGGUUUGUCGCGUCUGCCGUGAAAGUCCGGGGCUCAACUCCGGAUCUGCGGUGGGUACGGGCAGACUAGAGGUGAUGUAGGGGAGACUGGAAUUCCUGGUGUAGCGGUGGAAUGCGCAGAUAUCAGGAGGAACACCGGUGGCGAAGGCGGGUCUCUGGGCAGUAACUGACGCUGGAGGAGCGAAAGCGUGGGGAGCGAACAGG